rnacentral:rRNA from 1 species
CAGUAGCCGCGGGAAUACGGAGGAUCCGAGCGUUAUCCGGAAUUAUUGGGUUUAAAGGGUGCGUAGGCGGAUAGAUAAGUCAGUGGUGAAAGACGGUGGCUCAACCAUCGCAGUGCCGUUGAUACUGUUUAUCUUGAAUAUGGAUGAGGUAGGCGGAAUGUGGCAAGUAGCGGUGAAAUGCAUAGAUAUGCCACAGAACACCGAUUGCGAAGGCAGCUUACCAAGGCAAAAUUGACGCUAAGGCACAAAAGCGUGGGGAUCGAACAGGAUUAGAUACCCGAGUAGUCCCUGUCUCUUAUAC